GGUUGAUCCUGCCAGUAGUCAUAUGCUUGUCCUAAAGAUUAAGCCAUGCAUGUCCAAGUAUAAACAAGUUGUACAGUGAAACUGCGAAAGGCUCAUUAGAACAGUUAUAAUUUGAAUGGAUGAGUGAAUGUGGAUAACUGUGGUAAUUCUAGAGCUAAUACAUAGACGGGUGGGGUAUAGUAUACCUCGUCCUACAUUUAUUAGACAAGCCAACACACACACAAGGUGAAACAUGAUAACUGGGUGGAUCGCAAAGUAAUGCGACGAUCCAUGUAAAUUUCUGCCCUAUCAA
rnacentral:rRNA from 1 species